rnacentral:misc_RNA from 1 species
UAACAAUCCACAGCACAAUGGGAAUAUGUUUCCUUCUGAUGAGUGGGGCGGAAUUUCUUCAGAGGAGCAUGACGAAGCAGUCAUGCUUGAGGCUGCUAUGUUUGGUGGAGGUUCUGAAGGAAGUUCAUACCAUUUUCCAUCUGCACCCCAUGAAUUCAUGAGAAAUCAAGGUUCAUACAUGCAGCCAGCUCCUCGUCCUCCUUCUCCCUCUUUAGUAGCUCAGCGUUUGAUAAGGGAACAACAGGAUGAUGAGUAUCUCGCAGCCUUACAAGCUGACAGAGAAAAAGAACUAAAGGCUAUGGAAGAAGCUGCAGCUGUUCGUGAAAAAGAAAGACAAAGAGAGGAAGAAUCCCGUCAGAAAUUGGAUGCUGAGAAGGAACUUGAAAGACACUUGGCAGAAAUAGAAGCUUCUCUUCCAAGUGAACCAAGAACAGAUGAUGAGAAUGCUGUGACACUAUUAGUGCGCAUGCCAGAUGGCAGUCGCCGCGGUCGUCGAUUUCUCAAAACUGAUAAGUUACAGUGUCUCUUGCACUUCAUUGAUAUUGGUAGAGUUGUCAAGCCUGGCUCCUACAGAUUGGUGAGGCCAUAUCCUCGAAAAGCUUUUGGAGAUGGGGAGGGUUCAUUAACGUUGAAUGAACUUGGACUCAACAGCAAACAAGAAGCUUUGUAUCUGGAGUUGAUUUAAUUGCAACCGCAUUGGUUCAGAACCGCGGAAAUUAAAUGAUAUAUACAUGAAAACUACAUCUUCUUCCCUCUCUGUUGGAGCUUUCUUUGUGUGGAUGAAACAGAGAUGGCAUUUGAAGGUAUAAAAAUAGAACCAUUAAUGCGGAAUAAUGGUCUUUGAAGUGCAAAAUAUUUGAUCCUUGUGCCGUGGAGGUUGCCUGUAUGCAGCUUUUUCCUG